UCCGAGUUGACCCCGGCAGUCUCUUAUGAGUCCCCACCAUAACGUGCUGGCAACAUAAGACGAGGGUUGCGCUCGUUGCGGGACUUAACCCAACAUCUCACGACACGAGCUGACGACAGCCAUGCACCACCUGUAUACGAGUGUCCAAAGAGACCCCCAUCUCUGGGGGCUUCCCGUAUAUGUCAAACCCAGGUAAGGUGGGGAUGACGUUUUCGGAUUCUAAG
rnacentral:misc_RNA from 1 species